GUUGGCUUUGGCAGCACUUUCUAAAAUUAGAAUGAUGUCAGACAAGAUUAACACGGCUCCUGCAUAUAGAUUACACCAAAAUUUUGUGAAGCAUUUUCACAUUUU
rnacentral:snRNA from 1 species